rnacentral:rRNA from 1 species
GACGAACGCUGGCGGCGUGCUUAACACAUGCAAGUCGAACGGAAAGGCCCUGCUUUUGUGGGGUGCUCGAGUGGCGAACGGGUGAGUAACACGUGAGUAACCUGCCCUUGACUUUGGGAUAACUUCAGGAAACUGGGGCUAAUACCGGAUAUGAGCUCCUGCUGCAUGGUGGGGGUUGGAAAGUUUCGGCGGUUGGGGAUGGACUCGCGGCUUAUCAGCUUGUUGGUGGGGUAGUGGCUUACCAAGGCUUUGACGGGUAGCCGGCCUGAGAGGGUGACCGGCGACAUUGGGAAUGAGAUACGGCCCAGACUCGUACGGGAGGCAGCAGUGGGGAAUAUUGCAGAAUGGGCGGAAGCCUGAUGCAGCAACGCCGGGUGCGGGAUGACGGCCUUCGGGGUGUAAACCGCUGUCGCCUGUGACGAAGAGGGAGUGACGGUAAUGGGUAAAGAAGCACCGGCUAACUACGUG